rnacentral:rRNA from 1 species
ACGAACGCUGGCGGCGUGCUUAACCCAUGCAAGUCGAACGGAAAGGCCCUGCUUUUGUGGGGUGCUCGAGUGGCGAACGGGUGAGUAACACGUGAGUAACCUGCCCUUGACUUUGGGAUAACUUCAGGCAACUGGGGCUAAUACCGGAUAGGAGCUCCUGCUGCAUGGUGGGGGUUGGAAAGUUUCGGCGGUUGGGGAUGGACUCGCGGCUUAUCAGCUUGUUGGUGGGGUAGUGGCUUACCAAGGCUUUGACGGGUAGCCGGCCUGAGAGGGUGACCGGCCACAUUGGGACUGAGAUACGGCCCAGACUCCUACGGGAGGCAGCAGUGGGGAAUAUUGCACAAUGGGCGGAAGCCUGAUGCAGCAACGCCGCGUGCGGGAUGACGGCCUUCGGGUUGUAAACCGCUUUCGCCUGUGACGAAGCGUGAGUGACGGUAAUGGGUAAAGAAGCACCGGCUAACUACGUG